rfam:Schistosoma rodhaini strain Burundi genome assembly, scaffold: SROB_scaffold0002718
UGCUGAGGAGUCCCAUAAUAGGACGAAAUGGCCGUCCA